CAGCCAGCAGCAGUGCCCGAUGCCUGCCCCCCUUCCUCUCUGCGCUGUGGUUGCUCCGUUCCCCGGGACCCAACCACGUACCUACUAUAGUAUGACCUUCUCCUGCCCCUCCCGAGGCUCCGCCCCCUCUUCCCGAGGCCCCGCCUCUUCCUACUCCUGGAGUCAUGCUCUGUCUGUGUGGGCCUAUCCUGCCCUGCUUCUCAGUGUGCAGUAUGAGUGAGAGAAAAUGCAGAACCCUUCAAGCAGUAGUGUUACUUGUUUGUGAACAACGAAGAGUGGGAGGCGACAGGCUGGAGAGUUGAGUGAGGAGGAAGAACAGGUUGGGGGACUCUACCAGUUACCUGGUUCCCCAGCACGUCGGUAGUACAGGCCGUGGACACCUCCUUGGGACUGAACCAGAUGAAGGCCACUCGAGCGUGCAGGUCGAGGAUGCAGACCUGGGCCACGGAGCAGACAGCAGGGUGACCGGGAAAAGAUAAUCAGACCUAUUCAGGGACACAACAGAUGGGCCUGAGGGAGUAUUCCCAAACUAUUCCUCAGCACUCCUCCAGUUUCACACUAGAAGAAAACAUUGCAGCGAUCAGGGUGGUACUGGAAGGCAACAACACACGUCUGGAUUCCUGAUCGAGUUCCUGGAGAGGGAUUCUGAAGACAGAUUGCGGGAUACCGCUCUUCUAUACCAAAGACUGGGAGAGCUUAUUGAGAUUCUAGCUAAUAGACCCUGCACCACAAACCAACUAUCCCCAUGCCCUGGCCAAUCUGAUUCCACCCCUGGCCAGGGCACGUGAGGAUGGGCCAGCAAGCCUGCCCCCUCUAUGUCCUCAGACUGCUGGAAAGCAUGGGCACCACUAGGAACUGAGGCCAGAUCUUGACCUACUUUUCUGUACUCCUGACAUUGAAACCAUGAAUACAA